AGGGAUGUUCUAUGUAAUACGUAGUCCUGCCAUGAUUGCAGGGGAUGGAACUAGAUGACCUCUCAAGGUCCCUUCCAGUCCUACCAUUCU